UUAUUGAUUCAUUGAUUGAUUCCUCUUUAAGGAGGUACAACCCAUCCUUAUAUAGAUACAAAGACUUGCCCACAAGUUACUAACUCAAUCUUAUCUAAUCUAAUCCAAAGUAAGUAACUAACACAAUCUUAUCUAAUCUAAUCCUAAGUAACUAACUCAAUCUUAUAUAAUCUAAUCUUUAUCCACUAAUCCUAACCCUGAGCCUAUCCCUAUGGCCUUCAACUCUCCAUGCUCUGGGCUGCCGCCCCACGACAAUGUGCCGAGCUGAUCGUCUUCAGAUUCUGUUUUCAGUCAAUUAAAAAUAGGUUCACCUUCCCGUUCAAAAGGGAAAAAAAUCCCAGGAAUGUAAUGGAGAAAACAAAUACUCCCUACAUCCUAAAAUAUUAUUUGUUUUAGCCCUUAAAUUUUAUAUUUAUAUUCAAAUAAAUGACAAUAAAUCUAGACAUAUAUAAAACACAUAUAUUAAAUAUUAUAUAAAUCUAUUCAAAUGCUAAAACGACUAAUAUUUUUAGGACGAGAGAGUACAUUACAAAUAGUUUUGUUCGUGCACCAAGAAAAAUUCCCAUGAAAAAGGAAGAAUUUCUAUCCGACUGAUGUAAUAACUUAUUUUCUAAGAAUAAAAGAGUACAAAUGGACGAAUCAAAAUUGUGUGGAGAAAACAGAACCUUGUAUUUUCAGGCACUUCAGUCAGUAUUUCGCUUCGAAGUUCUGCAACUCUGAAAAUUCCACCGUGCUGAAUACUCAAUCAAUUCUUCAACACUUCUGCCAGGACUCGAGAGAAGGAAACCCCUGAUUGCCCACGCAAACUUCGGCAGCCACCAUGUUCUUUUUCCAGUUUAUUAUGAGCAUUUAGAGCACCUGCCAGCACAAAUUGGACUAUGUACCAACAACAAAAGGUAAUAGAACUGUCGAAGAGAUUUCCACUAGGCCGCCGCAAAAACAAAAAGAAAAGAUUGCACAUCACAUCAGACACAACAGAGCACAAGACAACAAAUCGGUGGAUAAAUUUAGGUGUCCACAUCACUGCAAACUGCCUUGAGAAGUCUGAUCACAUCGCCAUCCGCGUGCAUUGAGCAUGUGAGAAAAUUGCUGGACCAAACAUGGAAAACAUCUACAAAAAACAGUUUGGAGACAAGACAAGAUGAGGUAGGAACACAGUACACGAGAUAGGAACACGAGACCAAUUCAACGACCCAGUGGGGAGAAAAUUUGUGGAAAAAAGGGGUUACAGCUAGGAUGCAAAUGCAAAUCACAUUCGAGAUACCUUUCCUUGUCUACUUGCUGUUCCGCAUGGCAAUACUAUCCACUUGUCAAAUUCCUUUUCCGCACAACAUACACAUCGAUAUGGGUAGUAAUCAAACUCCUCACUGAUUGUUAGGAUAUGCACAUAGCCUAUCACCCUCACACACGUUGCAGGCGCACUGGAACAGCAAUCAUGUUUCAGGAAACAUAUUUUAGGCUGGAUUAGCAGAAUUUCAUAUGUGAUCAUGUCUGACAAGGUUAUGCAGUAUGUUUCAACUAAAACGACUGCAGAAAUUUGCACAUCUCAACUUCUACACAUCAAUCAGCAUUGGUAGUGUGACGUUGAACAAUAAAUAUGGAGAAUGGGGAGAUAAUGACCAUUACCUCCAUUUCAGAAGUACCUCAACAACUCUCUAUCUUGCUAUAAAUUCCCUCAACUUCAUCAACUUGUCAGUAAGUGUUGCCAUGAUCACUACGAGAAGACUAUUUCCUUGAUGCUUCUCAUAAUUACCAAACUUCUGUUGUGUUAUACUCGUUUCAGCUGGUCUGUCACUUCAGCACUCCAACUGGUUAUUUGCUUGUGCAAUCAUCAAUCAUUGAUUAUGGUGUUUGUACAAAUGAAAACUUAACAUUGAUGUCAAAUCCAUGGGCUCCAAAGAAUCAAAUGAUAGCUUCAACUCACAAUUUCCAAACAGUGAGCUUAAUUAGAAAGGAUCCGUACUAAAAUCUUCAGUAGGAACUUGGCUACUAAAUGAUAUGACAAAAACAGAGCCGAACUGUAGCCAAUCAGCCAUAAAAGUGUUCUAGAGACUGUUGAUUCUCUACACCAAAUCAGACCAAAAUCGUUCAUGAUCAGCAUUAACAGAAAAGUAACAUUGGGGAAAUAUACUACACAAAAGUUCAAAAACAACUGCACAAUUGGACCGUUAAUUGUAGGUAUAUAUAUCAGCAAUGCACUAUUGUAUCUUGAAAAAUAAAACAUAAUGGUAGAUCUUCCUUUCUUUUGUGGAUACCAACCCACUAACAGGUAAUGA
rnacentral:lncRNA from 1 species